UUNUGAACUGGGUAGCUAGAGUAUGUCAGAGGGGGGUAGAAUUCCACGUGUAGCAGUGAAAUGCGUAGAGAUGUGGAGGAAUACCGAUGGCGAAGGCAGCCCCCUGGGAUAAUACUGACGUUCAUGCUCGAAAGCGUGGGUAGCAAACAGGAUUAGAUACCCUGGUAGUCCACGCCCUAAACGAUGUCGAUUAGCUGUUGGGCAACUUGAUUGCUUAGUAGCGUAGCUAACGCGUGAAAUCGACCGCCUGGGGAGUACGGUCGCAAGAUUAAAACUCAAAGGAAUUGACGGGGACCCGCACAAGCGGUGGAUGAUGUGGAUUAAUUCGAUGCAACGCGAAGAACCUUACCUGGUCUUGACAUGUACGGAAUCUUUCAGAGACGGAAGAGUGCCUUCGGGAGCCGUAACACAGGUGCUGCAUGGCUGUCGUCAGCUCGUGUCGUGAGAUGUUGGGUUAAGUCCCGCAACGAGCGCAACCCUUGUCAUUAGUUGCCAUCAUUAAGUUGGGCACUCUAAUGAGACUGCCGGUGACAAACCGGAGGAAGGUGGGGAUGACGUCAAGUCCUCAUGGCCCUUAUGACCAGGGCUUCACACGUCAUACAAUGGUCGGUACAAAGGGUAGCCAAGCCGCGAGGUGGAGCCAAUCUCAGAAAACCGAUCGUAGUCCGGAUUGCACUCUGCAACUCGAGUGCAUGAAGUCGGAAUCGCUAGUAAUCGCAGGUCAGCAUACUGCGGUGAAUACGUUCCCGGGUCUUGUACACACCGCCCGUCACACCAUGGGAGUGGGGGAUACCAGAAGUAGGU
rnacentral:rRNA from 1 species